GAUGAAGAACGUAGCGAAAUGCGAUAAGUAAUGUGAAUUGCAGAAUUCAGUGAAUCAUCGAAUCUUUGAACGCACAUUGCGCCCGCCAGUAUUCUGGCGGGCAUGCCUGUUCGAGCGUCAUUACAACCCUCAGGCCCCCGGGCCUGGCGUUGGGGAUCGGCGGAAGCCCCCUGCGGGCACAACGCCGUCCCCCAAAUACAGUGGCGGUCCCGCCGCAGCUUCCAUUGCGUAGUAGCUAACACCUCGCAACUGGAGAGCGGCGCGGCCACGCCGUAAAACACCCAACUUCUGAAUGUUGACCUCGAAUCAGGUAGGAAUACCCGCUGAACUUAAGCAUAUCAAAUAAGCGGAGGA
rnacentral:misc_RNA from 1 species